AGUCUCAGUUCGGAUUGAAGGCUGAAAUUCGCCUUCAUGAAGCUGGAAUUGCUAGUAAUGGCAGGUCAGCAUACUGCCGUGAAUACGUUCCCGGGCCUUGUACACACCGCCCGUCACACCAUGAGAGUUGGGAAUACCCGAAGCCUGUGAGCCAACAAGAUGAGGCAGCAGUCGAAGGUAGAAUCAAUGAUUGGGGUGAAGUCGUAACAAGGUAUC
rnacentral:rRNA from 1 species